rnacentral:rRNA from 1 species
UACGUAGGGUGCAGGCGUUAAUCGGAAUUACUUGGCGUAAAGCGUGCGCAGGCGGUUUCUUAAGUCAGAUGUGAAAGCCCCGGGCUUAACCUGGGAACUGCGUUUGAAACUGGGAGACUUGAGUGUGGCAGAGGGGGGUGGAAUUCCACGUGUAGCAGUGAAAUGCGUAGAUAUGUGGAGGAACACCGAUGGCGAAGGCAGCCCCCUGGGUUAACACUGACGCUCAUGCACGAAAGCGUGGGGAGCAAACAGG